CACACACACAUACACGCACACACACAGACCCAUGUAGCCCAAACUGUAUAAGGGGUUUAUCUAGCUCUGUAAAGCCAAAGCGGAGAUAUAAAGACACACACAGAGCGACACGGAGACUUUACCAGCGUGUUUCAACGUUUGUAAAUCUCAAAUAAAAUGUCUUCACCUGCUGAGGUGUGUGUGUGUUCGGUGUACCGGGCCUGUCUUUGGCGCGUGGAUAACCUCCUGUCUCCGGUGGACGCAUCACCUGUUCCGCAUCCAGGUUAUCUUCUGCAGACAAAGUAACAUCAUGUAUGAAGAUGAAGAGACAAACAUUGGAUGUGUCCAGCUUCAAGACAACAGAGAGAGAAAAAACAUCUUAUUUCCACACCUUUUUACACUGGCUUUAAACUAAUUGGUUCCAAUUUCGUUAGCUAAUAUAGGCUAAUAUACUAACUACAAAGUAUUCCUUAUGGGCUUUAAGGCUGUGAACUGCACGCAUGGUCGCUGUUUGCAUGGGGUUAAUGUACUCCAAGAUAUUCUAUGAAAUCCUUCAGUCAAAGUAGACAAGAUACUGAGGGCAGAAUUAAGUUAAGACGCCUAUCAGUAUAACUUAGGGCAUCUUGGACUUGUAGCUUUAAGUAGACUAACAGGGCUUUUUGCUGCUCUCUCUGAGAGUCACUGAUACAGGCCUCUGCCUAAAUCCUAAUUGUGUCUGCAAACAAACUGAGGAUCGACUCUUAUCACCAACAAAAGUAUAGAACUGAGAAUUAAAAGACUUCUUGCCUGUAAUUAAAGUGGUAACUCUUUUUCUGGGACUUCUGGGAGCUUAAGUCAACACAGAUCUCACAUUGUGAUGUCUGUCCUGCAGAUAAGAUUCUGUUUAGAUUAUGUCAAAUGGAGAGUAAAGGCACCGUUUGUGUUUACUGACAGACUUUACUUAUUGUUAUUUAAUCCUUAAAGUACUGAACACUUACUGUAAAGUUGUUUUUAUCUUCCUCCAGAGUUCCUUAUUGUUUUUAUUUUUAUAAAUCAUAUAAGAUUUAAAUGUACAAUAUGGAUUAACUAUAUACAAAUAAAAUAUUUUUACAGCA